AGUCGAGCGAAGCGGCAGCUGUAGCAAUACAGUAUGUGCUUAGCGGCAGACGGGUGAGUAACACGUAGAGAACCUUCCUCUAAGCGGGGGAUAGCUAGCCGAAAGGUUAGGUAAUACCGCGUACGAUCCACUGGUGGCAUCACCGGUGGAUGAAACAUCCGCAAGGAUGGCUUGGAGAGGGCUCUGCGGCCUAUCAGCUAGUUGGUGAGGUAACGGCUCACCAAGGCAACGACGGGUAACCGGCCUGAAAGGGCGAACGGUCACACUGACACUGAGACACGGGUCAGACACCUACGGGUGGCAGCAGUGAGGAAUCUUGGACAAUGGGGGCAACCCUGAUCCAGCGACGCCGCGUGAAGGAUGAAGGUCUUCGGAUUGUAAACUUCUUUUGUUCGGGAAUAAAAAAUCUAUGGAAACAUGGAGAUUGAAGGUACCGGAUGAAUAAGCCACGGCUAACUUCGUGCCAGCAGCCGCGGUAAUACGAAGGUGGCAAGCGUUACUCGGAAUUACUAGGCGUAAAGGGCAGGUAGGUGGUUUGAUAAGUCUGUUGUGUAAGCUCCUGGCUUAACUGGGAGAGGUCAACGGAAACUAUCAGACUUGAGUAUAGGAGAGGUUACUGGAAUUCCCGGUGUAGCGGUGAAAUGCGCAGAGAUCGGGAGGAACACCAAUGGCGAAAGCAGGUAACUGGACUAUUACUGACACUAAGCUGCGAAAGCUAGGGGAGCAAACAGGAUUAGAUACCCUGGUAGUCCUAGCUGUAAACGAUGCACAUUAGGCGUGAGGGGUAUCGACCCCCUUCGUGCCGACGCAAACGCAUUAAAUGUGCCGCCUG
rnacentral:rRNA from 1 species